rnacentral:rRNA from 1 species
CCGGCUUAACACAUGCAAGUCGAACGGUUGUAGCAAUACAGCAGUGGCAGACGGGUGAGUAACACGUGGGAACCUUCCUAGGGGUACGGAACAACUCAGGGAAACUUGAGCUAAUACCGUAUACGUCCGUGAGGAGAAAGAUUUAUCGCCCCUAGACGGGCCCGCGUAGGAUUAGGUAGUUGGUAAGGUAACGGCUCACCAAGCCUACGAUCCUUAGCUGAUCUGAGAGGAUGAUCAGCCACACUGGGACUGAGACACGGCCCAGACUCCUACGGGAGGCAGCAGUGGGGAAUCUUGGACAAUGGGCGCAAGCCUGAUCCAGCCAUGCCGCGUGAGUGAAGAAGGCCUUCGGGUUGUAAAGCUCUUUUACCAGGGACGAUAAUGACGGUACCUGGAGAAUAAGCCCCGGCAAACUUCGUGCCAGCAGCCGCGGUAAUACGAAGGGGGCUAGCGUUGUUCGGAAUUACUGGGCGUAAAGCGCACGUAGGCGGAUUGUUAAGUCAGAGGUGAAAUCCCGGAGCUCAACUUCGGAACUGCCUUUGAUACUGGCAAUCUAGAGUCCGGAAGAGGUUAGUGGAAUUCCCAGUGUAGAGGUGAAAUUCGUAGAUAUUGGGAAGAACACCAGUGGCGGAAGGCGGCUAACUGGUCCGGUACUGACGCUGAGGUGCGAGAGCGUG